UACGAAGGGGGCUAGCGUUGUUCGGAAUCACUGGGCGUAAAGGGCGCGUAGGCGGCCGUUCAAGUCGGGGGUGAAAGCCUGUGGCUCAACCACAGAAUUGCCUUCGAUACUGGACGGCUCGAGACCGGAAGAGGUCAGUGGAACUGCGAGUGUAGAGGUGAAAUUCGUAGAUAUUCGCAAGAACACCAGUGGCGAAGGCGGCUGACUGGUCCGGUUCUGACGCUGAGGCGCGAAAGCGUGGGUAGCAAACAGG
rnacentral:rRNA from 1 species